rnacentral:rRNA from 1 species
UACGUAGGGGGCAAGCGUUGUCCGGAUUUAUUGGGCGUAAAGAGCGUGUAGGCGGCCUGAAAGGUCAGCUGUGAAAACUCGAGGCUCAACCUCGAGACGUCGGUUGAAACCAUCUGGCUAGAGUCCGGAAGAGGAGUGUGGAAUUCCCGGUGUAGCGGUGAAAUGCGCAGAUAUCAGGAGGAACACCGGUGGCGAAGGCGGUGGGCUGGGCCGGCACUGACGCUGAGGCGCGAGAGCGUGGGGAGCGAACCGG